GCAUUGGUUUUUCAGUGGUAGAGUUCUCGCCCACUACGCGGGACGCCAGGGUUCGAUUCCUGGUCGGUCCA